rnacentral:ncRNA from 1 species
UGCCCUUGUAUGGUGGUGGUAGUGGAAACGCCCACACAGUUACUCGAAUGACUGAGGACACCUAAACAGGGGCUUU